rnacentral:tRNA from 1 species
GGACGUAUAGUGUAGUCUGGAUAUCACUUCGGCCUUCUAAGCCGAAAACCCGGGUUCGAAUCCUGGUACGUCCGCCA